AAAUUGAAGAGUUUGAUCAUGGCUCAGAUUGAACGCUGGCGGCAGGCCUAACACAUGCAAGUCGAGCGGUAACACAGAGAGCUUGCUCUCGGGUGACGAGCGGCGGACGGGUGAGUAAUGUCUGGGAAACUGCCUGAUGGAGGGGGAUAACUACUGGAAACGGUAGCUAAUACCGCAUAACGUCGCAAGACCAAAGUGGGGGACCUUCGGGCCUCAUGCCAUCAGAUGUGCCCAGAUGGGAUUAGCUAGUAGGUGGGGUAAUGGCUCACCUAGGCGACGAUCCCUAGCUGGUCUGAGAGGAUGACCAGCCACACUGGAACUGAGACACGGUCCAGACUCCUACGGGAGGCAGCAGUGGGGAAUAUUGCACAAUGGGCGCAAGCCUGAUGCAGCCAUGCCGCGUGUAUGAAGAAGGCCUUCGGGUUGUAAAGUACUUUCAGCGAGGAGGAAGGCGUUAAGGUUAAUAACCUUGAUGAUUGACGUUACUCGCAGAAGAAGCACCGGCUAACUCCGUGCCAGCAGCCGCGGUAAUACGGAGGGUGCAAGCGUUAAUCGGAAUUACUGGGCGUAAAGCGCACGCAGGCGGUCUGUCAAGUCGGAUGUGAAAUCCCCGGGCUCAACCUGGGAACUGCAUUCGAAACUGGCAGGCUAGAGUCUUGUAGAGGGGGGUAGAAUUCCAGGUGUAGCGGUGAAAUGCGUAGAGAUCUGGAGGAAUACCGGUGGCGAAGGCGGCCCCCUGGACAAAGACUGACGCUCAGGUGCGAAAGCGUGGGGAGCAAACAGGAUUAGAUACCCUGGUAGUCCACGCCGUAAACGAUGUCGACUUGGAGGUUGUGCCCUUGAGGCGUGGCUUCCGGAGCUAACGCGUUAAGUCGACCGCCUGGGGAGUACGGCCGCAAGGUUAAAACUCAAAUGAAUUGACGGGGGCCCGCACAAGCGGUGGAGCAUGUGGUUUAAUUCGAUGCAACGCGAAGAACCUUACCUACUCUUGACAUCCAGAGAACUUAGCAGAGAUGCUUUGGUGCCUUCGGGAACUCUGAGACAGGUGCUGCAUGGCUGUCGUCAGCUCGUGUUGUGAAAUGUUGGGUUAAGUCCCGCAACGAGCGCAACCCUUAUCCUUUGUUGCCAGCGGUUAGGCCGGGAACUCAAAGGAGACUGCCAGUGAUAAACUGGAGGAAGGUGGGGAUGACGUCAAGUCAUCAUGGCCCUUACGAGUAGGGCUACACACGUGCUACAAUGGCAUAUACAAAGAGAAGCGACCUCGCGAGAGCAAGCGGACCUCAUAAAGUAUGUCGUAGUCCGGAUUGGAGUCUGCAACUCGACUCCAUGAAGUCGGAAUCGCUAGUAAUCGUAGAUCAGAAUGCUACGGUGAAUACGUUCCCGGGCCUUGUACACACCGCCCGUCACACCAUGGGAGUGGGUUGCAAAAGAAGUAGGUAGCUUAACCUUCGGGAGGGCGCUUACCACUUUGUGAUUCAUGACUGGGGUGAAGUCGUAACAAGGUAACCGUAGGGGAACCUGCGGUUGGAUCACCUCCUUACCUUAAAGAA
rnacentral:rRNA from 1 species